ACCCCAUCCCUGGAGCAACUCCAGCCCUUCCCCAUCCCACAGGACAAGCGCGGGUGCGCUGUAAUUUAUUCUAAUGACCCUCAUUUGCAUAUCGGGACUAAUUUUCCGCCACUUCGCCGUUCCCAUUUCUCCGGUUUCGGCUCGGGGCGGAGGCGGGCCCGGGGCGCGCUCGGGGCCGGGGCCCCGCGGGGGUGGCGGGGGUCGCUGUGUUCGCCGCCCCCCGCCCGUGGGAAGGCGCCGCGGCCGUUGGUGGCCGGGCGGGGACAGCGGCGGCCCCGGGGAGAGGGGACAAAGGCGGCGGGAGGAAUCCGGGCUGGAAUUCCAACCGCUCCCGAUCCCGGGAAAUGCCGCGGGGAUUGUCUGGGGCUGGCGGGAGAGAGCUGGAGAGAGCCCGGCCUGGCCAGCCGGUGGCCAUCCAUUGGUCAGUCAGUGGCCAGCCAGUGGUCAUCCAUUGGUCAUCAAUUGGUCAUCAAUUGGUCAUCCAUUGGUCAUCCAUUGGUCAUCCAGUGGCCAUCCAUUGGUCAUCCAUUGGUCAUCCAGUGGCAAUCCAUUGGUCAUCCAGUGGUCAUUCAGUGGUCAUCCAGCGAUCAUCCAUUGGUCAUCCAUUGGUCAUCCAUUGGUCAUCCAGUGCUGAUCCAGGAAUCCCUCGGACACCUCCAGGGAUGGGAUCCAGCCCUCCCUGAGCCCCUUCCGGCGCUUCCCAACCCUUUUCCCGUGGAAAAAUCAUCCCAAAUUUCCCACCCUGGCACAGCUCGAGGCCGUUCCCAUUCCCUGGGAUCAGAUCCCAAAUCCCCCUGGCAGAUCCCAAAUCGCCCCUGGGAUCAGAUCCCAAAUCCCCCUGGCAGAUCCCAAAUCCCCCCUGGCUGUCCCCAGGCUUUGGGGUCACUCUGGUCACUCCCAGUGAGGGGGAGAUGUGACCCUUGGGGUCAGUGUCCCACUGGCCAUUGGGACCAUGGAGGGGGGGUCCUGGAUGGAUUUGGGGAGAUUUGGGGCAUUUUGGGGACUUUGGGUAGAUUUUAUGGGGAUUUGAGGGGUCUGGGGGAGUCUUGGUGGAUUUUCAGGCGAUUGGAAAGAUUUGGGGGCCCCGGGUCACUCCGGUGGGGAUGUGGGGCGCGCAUGAGGCCCCCCCAUCGUGGGGCUGUGACACACUUGUGA
rnacentral:lncRNA from 1 species